UGACUGCGUACCUUUUGUAUAAUGGGUCAGCGACUUAUAUUCUGUAGCAAGGUUAACCGUAUAGGGGAGCCGGAGGGAAACCGAGUCUUAACCGGGCGUUAAGUUGCAGGGUAUAGACCCGAAACCCGGUGAUCUAGCCAUGGGCAGGUUGAAGGUUGGGUAACACUAACUGGAGGACCGAACCGACUAAUGUUGAAAAAUUAGCGGAUGAUCUGUGGCUGGGGGUGAAAGGCCAAUCAAACCGGGAGAUAGCUGGUUCUCCCCGAAAGCUAUUUAGGUAGCGCCUCGUGAAUUCAUCUCCGGGGGUAGAGCACUGUUUCGGCUAGGGGGCCAUCCCGGCUUACCAACCCGAUGCAAACUGCGAAUACCGGAGAAUGUUAUCACGGGAGACACACGGCGGGUGCUAACGUCCGUCGUGAAGAGGGAAACAACCCAGACCGCCAGCUAAGGUCCCAAAGUCAUGGUUAAGUGGGAAACGAUGUGGGAAGGCCCAGACAGCCAGGAUGUUGGCUUAGAAGCAGCCAUCAUUUAAAGAAAGCGUAAUAGCUCACUGGUCGAGUCGGCCUGCGCGGAAGAUGUAACGGGGCUAAACCAUGCACCGAAGCUGCGGCAGCGACACUGUGUGUUGUUGGGUAGGGGAGCGUUCUGUAAGCCUGUGAAGGUGGCCUGUGAGGGAUGCUGGAGGUAUCAGAAGUGCGAAUGCUGACAUAAGUAACGAUAAAGCGGGUGAAAAGCCCGCUCGCCGGAAGACCAAGGGUUCCUGUCCAACGUUAAUCGGGGCAGGGUGAGUCGACCCCUAAGGCGAGGCCGAAAGGCGUAGUCGAUGGGAAACGGGUUAAUAUUCCCGUACUUGGUGUUACUGCGAAGGGGGGACGGAGAAGGCUAUGUUGGCCGGGCGACGGUUGUCCCGGUUUAAGCGUGUAGGUGUGUGUUCCAGGUAAAUCCGGUUCACUUUAACACUGAGGCGUGACGACGAGGCACUACGGUGCUGAAGCAACAAAUGCCCUGCUUCCAGGAAAAGCCUCUAAGCAUCAGGUAACAUCAAAUCGUACCCCAAACCGACACAGGUGGUCAGGUAGAGAAUACCAAGGCGCUUGAGAGAACUCGGGUGAAGGAACUAGGCAAAAUGGUGCCGUAACUUCGGGAGAAGGCACGCUGACACGUAGGUGAAGUGAUUUACUCAUGGAGCUGAAGUCAGUCGAAGAUACCAGCUGGCUGCAACUGUUUAUUAAAAACACAGCACUGUGCAAACACGAAAGUGGACGUAUACGGUGUGACGCCUGCCCGGUGCCGGAAGGUUAAUUGAUGGGGUCAGCGCAAGCGAAGCUCCUGAUCGAAGCCCCGGUAAACGGCGGCCGUAACUAUAACGGUCCUAAGGUAGCGAAAUUCCUUGUCGGGUAAGUUCCGACCUGCACGAAUGGCGUAAUGAUGGCCAGGCUGUCUCCACCCGAGACUCAGUGAAAUUGAACUCGCUGUGAAGAUGCAGUGUACCCGCGGCAAGACGGAAAGACCCCGUGAACCUUUACUAUAGCUUGACACUGAACAUUGAGCCUUGAUGUGUAGGAUAGGUGGGAGGCUUUGAAGUGUGGACGCCAGUCUGCAUGGAGCCGACCUUGAAAUACCACCCUUUAAUGUUUGAUGUUCUAACGUGGACCCGUGAUCCGGGUUGCGGACAGUGUCUGGUGGGUAGUUUGACUGGGGCGGUCUCCUCCUAAAGAGUAACGGAGGAGCACGAAGGUUGGCUAAUCCUGGUCGGACAUCAGGAGGUUAGUGCAAUGGCAUAAGCCAGCUUGACUGCGAGCGUGACGGCGCGAGCAGGUGCGAAAGCAGGUCAUAGUGAUCCGGUGGUUCUGAAUGGAAGGGCCAUCGCUCAACGGAUAAAAGGUACUCCGGGGAUAACAGGCUGAUACCGCCCAAGAGUUCAUAUCGACGGCGGUGUUUGGCACCUCGAUGUCGGCUCAUCACAUCCUGGGGCUGAAGUAGGUCCCAAGGGUAUGGCUGUUCGCCAUUUAAAGUGGUACGCGAGCUGGGUUUAGAACGUCGUGAGACAGUUCGGUCCCUAUCUGCCGUGGGCGCUGGAGAACUGAGGGGGGCUGCUCCUAGUACGAGAGGACCGGAGUGGACGCAUCACUGGUGUUCGGGUUGUCAUGCCAAUGGCACUGCCCGGUAGCUAAAUGCGGAAGAGAUAAGUGCUGAAAGCAUCUAAGCACGAAACUUGCCCCGAGAUGAGUUCU
rnacentral:rRNA from 1 species